rnacentral:piRNA from 1 species
AGGGACGCCGACCAUAAAUUUGAGUG